rnacentral:sRNA from 1 species
GCUGGGCAUGGUGGUGCCUGCCUAUAAUCCCAGCAUCUUGGGAGACUGAGGCAGGAGGAUUGCAAGUUCAAAGCCAGCCUCAGUAACUCAAGGAGACCCUGUCUCUA